rnacentral:rRNA from 1 species
CCUACGGGAGGCAGCAGUGGGGAAUAUUGGGCAAUGGGCGCAAGCCUGACCCAGCAACGCCGCGUGAAGGAAGAGGGCUCUCGGGUUGUAAACUUCUUUUAUCAGGGACGAAGCAAGUGACGGUAACUGAUGAAUAAGCCACGGCUAACUACGUGCCAGCCGCCGCGGUAAUACGUAGGUGGCAAGCGUUAUCCGGAUUUACUGGGGUUAAAGGGCGUGUAGGCGGGAAAGCAAGUCAGAUGUGAAAACCAUGGGCUCAACCUGUGGACUGCAUUUGAAACUGUUUUUCUUGAGUACUGGAGAGGCAGACGGAAUUCUUAGUGUAGCGGUGAAAUGCGUAGAUAUUAGGAGGAACACCAGUGGCGAAGGCGGUCUGCUGGAAAGCAACUGACGCUGAGGCGCGAAAGCGUGGGGAGCAAACAGGAUUAGAUACCCCGGUAGUC